rnacentral:rRNA from 1 species
UACGUAGGGUGCGAGCGUUGUCCGGAAUUAUUGGGCGUAAAGGGCUCGUAGGCGGUUUGUCGCGUCGGGAGUGAAAUCAUCUGGCUUAACUGGGUGCUUGCUUUCGAUACGGGCAGACUAGAGGUAUGCAGGGGAGAACGGAAUUCCUGGUGUAGCGGUGAAAUGCGCAGAUAUCAGGAGGAACACCGGUGGCGAAGGCGGGUCUCUGGGCAUCGUCUGCGCUGAGGACGAAGGUGUGGGGAGCGAAACGGG